CCUACGGGAGGCAGCAGUGAGGAAUAUUGGUCAAUGGGCGGAAGCCUGAACCAGCCAAGUCGCGUGAGGGAGUAAGGCCCUACGGGUUGUAAACCUCUUUUGCCGGGGAGCAGUGCCCACCUCGUGUGCUGGGAGGGCGCGUACCCGGAGAAAAAGCAUCGGCUAACUCCGUGCCAGCAGCCGCGGUAAUACGGAGGUUGCGAGCGUUAUCCGGAUUUAUUGGGUUUAAAGGGUGCGUAGGCGGGCUGUCAGGCCGGCGGUAAACUUGCGGGGCUCAACCCUGCCGAGCCGUCGGAACCGGGGGCCUUGAGUACCGGAGAGGUACGCGGAAUGCGUGGUGUAGCGGUGAAAUGCAUAGAUAUCACGCAGAACCCCGAUGGCGAAGGCGGCGUACCGGCCGGUCACUGACGCUGAGGCACGAAAGCGCGGGUAUCGAACAGGAUUAGAUACCCGAGUAGUC
rnacentral:rRNA from 1 species